GGCCGCGUUGACCCGAGCUGGUUGCGAGAGCGGAUGGAGUGGCGGCUUCACGGAUUCCUUAUUGGAGGUGCCGUACCUGUCAGCCCGCUGACGAACUCGUGAAAUAUGGAUAGAGCUGCCACCUGAUCACCGGGGCCAAGAGGGAGCCCCAAAUAAACCAUUUCCUCUAUUAUAAUCAGAUUUUUGCACAGAGCUAAGGGAUGGUUUCAUUGAAUAGCUCUUGUGUUCAUCUAAUAGUUAGUUUGGUAUGUCUUUGAGAGACAGUAUGGAUUCCUACUAAAUGCAUUUAAUUUUGGGGUUUUUGAUAAUGCACAUAACCAUGGCAUUUUCUUCUGGAAUGUUUGUUUUCAGCAUCUGCUUCAUCUUGCGAUUAUAUAGGUUGUAAGAAAGAGCCAAGAUUAAAACUGGUGCAUAGCAUCCAGGUUUUUGUCGAACUGCGAUGGAGAUCGCUCUUCUGUUGUUGGAUGUGAGAGCCCCUCUCAUGCCGGAGAACACUAUACAUGUUUUUUGUGUUCCCUAUUAACAGCUAUAAGUGCAGCGGGGUUAAAACAGUGUGGCGGGAAACAUGAGAGAAGAUGAUUGUACGUGGUAUAUGUAUGCUAGAAUCAAUGGAAGCGAUUGGCUUAGUAAGUUUACAUGGAGAAACAGUUCAAGAAAUAUCUUGUUUGAACAGCUUAGCAUGUUUUUUCUUUGACUCCUUUGCCUUUGAAGUUUUGACAUGCUGUUCUUAUUCAUCUCAAGCUGAGCAAGAUGCUAUCCAGUACCUGUGUAGAGAGCUUGAGAACUACGGAUUGCUCCUGUGUGAGAGAAGUCUGAUCAGCCAAUUUCUAUAUAUAAUGUAGCUACUUUUAUAUCUUUGUCAGUGAAAAAUAUUGCUUUGUUCUUU